rnacentral:rRNA from 1 species
AUUGAACGCUGGCGACAGGCCUAACACAUGCAAGUCGAGCGAAGCGGGGACGGGUGAGUAACACGUGGAUAACCUCCUAUAAGACUGGGAUAACUUCGGGAAACCGGAGCUAACCCCGAUACUUAUAGAUGGAUCCGCGCUGCAUUAGCUAGUUGGUAAGGUAACGGCGUACCAAGGCCACGAUGCAUAGCCGACCUGAGAGGGUGAUCGGCCACACUGGAACUGAGACACGGUCCAGACUCCUACGGGAGGCAGCAGUGGGGAAUCUUCCGCAAUGGGCGAAAGCCUGACGGAGCAAGGCCGCGUGAGUGAUGAAGGUCUUCGGAUCGUAAAGCUCUGUUAUUAGGGAAGCGGUACCGAAUCAGAAAGCCACGGCUAACUACGUGCCAGCAGCCGCGGUAAUAC